UGGAGUUCUGGAAGGAGAGGAGAGGGAGAGAAGGCCCAGGGUAAGAAGAAAAAGAGAACAUAUACAGCUUGAGGAUAUUAGUGCCUAAAGCAAAGGGCCUUGAGAUUUGUCUGAAGAAACCUAUGUGGAUGUAACAGGGAGCUCACUAACCAACUAAGAUUUCAGAAAGAAACCCAAAGAAGGUGGAAGCAGGGCCAAGUAACAGAGAACAAACGUAAGAGACUGGCACAGUCCUGUAAAAAUGGUGUCAGGAAUGCUAAUGCUUAGAAAGAGGCAGGGUUGGUGAGGGAAGCUAAGGACAACAAGAAGAGUUUGGGGGGUUUAAAGCUAUGUUAGGAGAAAAGGAGGAAUCAAAGAAGACAUGGGAAUUUUGCUUGGAUGAUGGUAACUAACCUCAGAGAGAAAAUAGAGCUUUUCUAAUCCUCUUUUUGUUUUGAUUUUUGAUUUUCUCUACAAAAGAGACCUUUGUCCUGAGAAUAACCAUCAGGGGAGCUGAUACCCAAAAUAAGCAAGGAUAUAGUAAGAGAGCACCUAGCAGCCCUUGAGGAAGUCAAGUCGCCUGGACCAGAUGAACUCAUUCCUUGGGUCCUGAAAUGGGCAAGAUGGGCUUACUGAGCCUGCUGAGUCAGGGAUAUUUAGAAGGUCUUGGAAAAUGGAAGAGAUGUCCGAAAGUGGAAUGGCUGCCCUGAGAGGUAGUGGGUUUCCAUCCUUGGAGUUCUUCAAGCAAAGGCUGGAUAACCACUUAUCAGAUGAGAAAACUGAGACCCAGAAAGUUUAAAAAACUUGCCCAAGGUUAUCCAUGUAGUAAACAGAAGAGUUUGGACUCAAACCCAGGUCUUGUACUUUCCUGAAGAAUCUACCAAGUUUCUACUUCACUUGUCCCAGAGUUCUACUCCUUUUCCUACUAGGAGGCAUCAUCCUACAAAUCCAGUGCUCUUUCCACUAAAGCAUGCUGCUUCUUGGAAAAUAACUUCCCAAAAGUUCAAAAGAAUAAAGGACAAACUCAGGGCUCAUGUGCUCAGGGAGCUGUCAGUCAAGAUUUGGGUAGGGUUAAUCAGGGAAGACAGCUUGAGGUCCGGGGGAUUGGCCAGGUGUUACAGGAAGAAGAAAUGGAUGUGAAUCCCAUGAUGGAGAAGACAGCCAGCUUUUAAAAACGACUUCUUCUUGUACCAACCUCCUAAGGCUCUUUGUGCCUAUUGCUUAAUAUAGUGUCUUACAAAUGGCAAAUACUGAAUAAACAUUUGUUGA